AGUAUCCUCCUUUGACAGACGAGGAAAUGAAGCACAGAGAAGUUUAAAUAUGGACAAUUAAUAGGUCAAGGUCCAGGCUGGAAGGGGACCACUUCGAAUCUUGAAUGCAGGGGCAAACAGCUCAAGACACCAUGGCUGAUGAAGACGCUAUGUACACGCUUUCCAGUAUGAAAACCAAUGAGCUACAUGGGGCUGGCGAACACUUGAAAGGUGGUGAGUUAGAGUUGAGAUGUGCUGGACGUGUAAAAUAAUACAUCCUGGAGUUUGAAGACUUUUGUAUAAAAUUACUUAAGAUAUCUGAAUUUUUCAAAUGUCGAUUUUUUGUUGAAAUGAU
rnacentral:lncRNA from 10 species